rnacentral:rRNA from 1 species
UACGGAGGGUGCAAGCGUUAUCCGGAUUCACUGGGUUUAAAGGGUGCGUAGGCGGGCAGGUAAGUCAGUGGUGAAAUCCUCGGGCUUAACUUGGGAACUGCCGUUGAUACUAUCUGUCUUGAAUAUCGUGGAGGUGAGCGGAAUAUGUCAUGUAGCGGUGAAAUGCUUAGAUAUGACAUAGAACACCCAUUGCGAAGGCAGCUCACUACACGAUAAUUGACGCUGAGGCACGAAAGCGUGGGGAGCAAACAGG